CCCUCGCGUUGUCUUUUUUUUCUUCCCGUUCCUUUUCACUCGAGCGAUUGUGGCACCGACUCCUCUCCCCAACGCCCAACAACAGGGAGCCGCCACCGCUGGUGGCACAGGGGGAGCGCGGGGCUGGCCACCACGUGAAGGUGCAGGACUGCGCGAUGGAGGCCAAGCAUUGUGGCCAGCCGAAGCGGCGGCGGCCAGGCGGGUAGCCGACAUGGCAAGCUGUUGUCCGCGAUCGCCCGGUGGCUCGCGGCUCGGCCAGCUUGAUGGCGGCAUGGCCAGCCACAGCGCCCGCCUCACCCUUCUAGAAGAUUUUGAAAGCGAACCCAAGCAGAUCCUAAUUUCUUUCUGUCGAGCAGAUCCGGUGAUGGAUUGUGAGGGGCCAAUGGUGGGUGCUUAUUCGGUUUGUUUAUGUAUGGACAUCUAAUGUGUUGUUUGCACUGCAAUUUAAUGGAAUAUGAGAGAAGGGUCCAAGGUUUCCUGUUCAUGUCAGGUGGGGAUACCCCAUUGUGAGAUUUGUGUAUUGUUCCUACUUUUAACUUUUUUUCUUUAUGGUGUUGCCUUAGAUUAAAAAUAUGAAUGCUUAGAAAUACAUUUAGAGUCUGAUUUCAUAAUAUGAUGCUCGGUAUGGAAUCCAGUUGUUCGAUUGAUACUCUCUAGGUCUGGGAUUGCUGGAAACAAGCUUCCUACUGUCUCGGCUAGGCAAUAAAUCUGUGUAACUUGGUAUACUCCUGACUGAGAACUCAAGUUACUUUGGUGCUUGUCUGGUAAUAAAUCUGCACCCUAAUCAUUGCAAGGUUUUCUAUAUUAGCCAAUUUAUUUCUACUGAAAAAGGAAACUGUGAUAUUGCAACCUGCUCAAGAGCUUCUAUUCUUUGGCGGAAUACAAUUUUACACACAAGAUCUGUUUUCCUGAACUACAAAACCUGCUAUAGAAUCAAAGUGGUGAAUAAGGACAUUGGUGAAUAGUGAUAAGUGUAUAUGACUGAGGUGACAUUUGGUACAUUGACAGGAUCAAAGUGGUGAAUAAGGACAUGUUUUCUGCAAAUUUGAACCACGUUGGGAUGCUGUCACGCUUGUCAUCGACGAUCCAGGUUGCGUGCAGAGGCAAAUUAUUUGAAGGAGCAAUGACAUUCAUGUGGUCAUGUUUCUAAAAUUCAAGUCUGCGCUCGAUGGGACAUUCAUUUGAAGAAAGCGUAAAUAUACUUUUAUAGCUUUUAUCACUAAAUCAAUUGUAAAUUUACUUCUAUAGCUUUUAUCACUAAAUCAAUUGUAAGCUCAUGUCAAGUAGUUUUGUUUUGUAAUAAAUCUAGAUAUAAAACCAGGAAAAGCUAUCAUACAUCCUGUCAUCCAGCUGCCCUACUCCAAGUACAGAUACUUAGAAAGUACUAUGGUAGUGUUGAUCAAGUUACAUGUGAAGGAAGGCUAGGGCUUCAAAACUUAAAUUGGUGCAACAACGUUCUAUAUCAUCAUGGCGUUCCAGAGGAUGUAAAGUGAAAAGAUGUGAGAUCCAUGUUAGAUUGAACGCA